rnacentral:rRNA from 2 species
UAAAGCGGGUGAAAAGCCCGCUCGCCGGAAGACCAAGGGUUCCUGUCCAACGUUAAUCGGGGCAGGGUGAGUCGACCCCUAAGGCGAGGCCGAAAGGCGUAGUCGAUGGGAAACAGGUUAAUAUUCCUGUACUUGGUGUUACUGCGAAGGGGGGACGGAGAAGGCUAUGUUGGCCGGGCGACGGUUGUCCCGGUUUAAGCGUGUAGGCUGGUUUUCCAGGCAAAUCCGGAAAAUCAAGGCUGAGGCGUGAUGACG